UACGUAGGGUGCAAGCGUUGUCCGGAAUUAUUGGGCGUAAAGAGCUCGUAGGCGGCGUGUCGCGUCGGUUGUGAAAGCCCGGGGCUUAACUCCGGGUCUGCAGUCGAUACGGGCAUGCUGGAGUUCGGCAGGGGAGACUGGAAUUCCUGGUGUAGCGGUGAAAUGCGCAGAUAUCAGGAGGAACACCGGUGGCGAAGGCGGGUCUCUGGGCCGAUACUGACGCUGAGGAGCGAAAGCGUGGGGAGCGAACAGG
rnacentral:rRNA from 1 species